rnacentral:rRNA from 1 species
GAACGCUGGCGGCGUGCCUAAUACAUGCAAGUCGAGCGGACAGAAGGGAGCUUGCUCCCGGAUGUUAGCGGCGGACGGGUGAGUAACACGUGGGUAACCUGCCUGUAAGACUGGGAUAACUCCGGGAAACCGGAGCUAAUACCGGAUAGUUCCUUGAACCGCAUGGUUCAAGGAUGAAAGACGGUUUCGGCUGUCACUUACAGAUGGACCCGCGGCGCAUUAGCUAGUUGGUGAGGUAACGGCUCACCAAGGCGACGAUGCGUAGCCGACCUGAGAGGGUGAUCGGCCACACUGGGACUGAGACACGGCCCAGACUCCUACGGGAGGCAGCAGUAGGGAAUCUUCCGCAAUGGACGAAAGUCUGACGGAGCAACGCCGCGUGAGUGAUGAAGGUUUUCGGAUCGUAAAGCUCUGUUGUUAGGGAAGAACAAGUGCAAGAGUAACUGCUUGCACCUUGACGGUACCUAACCAGAAAGCCACGGCUAACUACGUGCCAGCAGCCGCGGUAAUACGUAGGUGGCAAGCGUUGUCCGGAAUUAUUGGGCGUAAAGGGCUCGCAGGCGGUUUCUUAAGUCUGAUGUGAAAGCCCCCGGCUCAACCGGGGAGGGUCAUUGGAAACUGGGAAACUUGAGUGCAGAAGAGGAGAGUGGAAUUCCACGUGUAGCGGUGAAAUGCGUAGAGAUGUGGAGGAACACCAGUGGCGAAGGCGACUCUCUGGUCUGUAACUGACGCUGAGGAGCGAAAGCGUGGGGAGCGAACAGGAUUAGAUACCCUGGUAGUCCACGCCGUAAACGAUGAGUGCUAAGUGUUAGGGGGUUUCCGCCCCUUAGUGCUGCAGCUAACGCAUUAAGCACUCCGCCUGGGGAGUACGGUCGCAAGACUGAAACUCAAAGGAAUUGACGGGGGCCCGCACAAGCGGUGGAGCAUGUGGUUUAAUUCGAAGCAACGCGAAGAACCUUACCAGGUCUUGACAUCCUCUGACAACCCUAGAGAUAGGGCUUUCCCUUCGGGGACAGAGUGACAGGUGGUGCAUGGUUGUCGUCAGCUCGUGUCGUGAGAUGUUGGGUUAAGUCCCGCAACGAGCGCAACCCUUGAUCUUAGUUGCCAGCAUUCAGUUGGGCACUCUAAGGUGACUGCCGGUGACAAACCGGAGGAAGGUGGGGAUGACGUCAAAUCAUCAUGCCCCUUAUGACCUGGGCUACACACGUGCUACAAUGGACAGAACAAAGG